rnacentral:ncRNA from 1 species
GCCGGUCCCAAGGGUAUGGCUGUUCGCCAUUUAAAGUGGUACGUGAGCUGGGUUUAGAACGUCGUGAGACAGUAAGAACCUUGCUGUCUAUAAAUCUAGCCAUAUGCUGGAAACUCUGUCCCCUAAGCAUUCGUGCUGAAGGGGUUAGUAUCUCAAGAUACUUAAAAAUCGUGGAUAACCGACAAAAUAAUUGUCUGUUAUGAUCCCGUUUUUAAAUUUUUAAGUAAAAAUUCUAUGAGUGCAGACAAUCAGCAGGAAAGAUUAGAUUCUUAUAUUGCUGGAUAUGAAAGCAGUGAUUCAGAAUCUAAAAUCCUCAACGACUCUACGCUAGAUUUUGUUUAUCUUGUGAGAGGUAGACGAAAAAGAUAGAGUCUGAACUGCAUGGCAACAUGCAGAGUUCGGGCUUGACCCGAAUCGCCGUAGCAAAAGAUAUUUAUGUUGCGGUCAUAUCUUUAAGUAACAGAUUGUCGGUCCCUAUCUGCCGUGGGCGCUGGAGAUUUGAGAGGAUCUGCUCCUAGUACGAGAGGACCGGAGUGGACGUACCUCUGGUGUUCCGGUUGUCACGCCAGUGGCAUCGCCGGGUAGCUAUGUACGGAUUGGAUAACCGCUGAAAGCAUCUAAGCGGGAAGCCAACCUCAAGAUGAGAUCUCCCGGACCUUUAAGGUCCCUAAAGAUUCGUUGAAGACGACGACGUUGAUAGGCAGGGUGUGGAAGUUCAGUAAUGAAUGAAGCUAACCUGUACUAAUUAAUCGUGAGGCUUGACUAG